rnacentral:rRNA from 1 species
AGUGGGGAAUUUCCCGCAGUGGGCGAAAGUCUGACGGAGCAACGCCGCGUGAGGGAGGAAGGUCUUUGGAUUGUAAACCUCUUUUCUCAAGGAAGAAGUUCUGACGGUACUUGAGGAAUCAGCCUCGGCUAACUCCGUGCCGGCAGCCGCGGUAAUACGGGGGAGGCAAGCGUUAUCCGGAAUUAUUGGGCGUAAAGCGUCCGCAGGUGGUCAGCCAAGUCUGCCGUCAAAUCAGGUUGCUUAACGACCUAAAGGCGGUGGAAACUGGCAGACUAGAGAGCAGUAGGGGUAGCAGGAAUUCCCAGUGUAGCGGUGAAAUGCGUAGAGAUUGGGAAGAACAUCGGUGGCGAAAGCGUGCUACUGGGCUGUAUCUGACACUCAGGGACGAAAGCUAGGGGAGCGAAAGGGAUUAGAUACCCCUGUAGUCCUAGCCGUAAACGAUGAAUACUAGGCGUGGCUUGUAUCGAC